CAUCUGGAACAUUUCCUCUAUCUGGCUCGCCACUGCUUCCCUGUUCUUUACGCAGGUUGUUCAAGAGGAGAUAUUACUUCUUUUAAGGCUGUGGGCCUUCUCUGUGAAGCUUGACUGGAGACUGCAUUAAUCUCCAGUCCUGUCUGCCAAGAAGGGACCGCAGAGAGGACCUACCAGAGGACACUGCUAUGCACUGCUUCCUCGAAAAUCUCUUCUCUGCCACUGCUGGGGUUUUAUGAGACGUUCUACACUAAUUUAAUUCACCAAAUACUUGUUGAAAGUUAUUAUUUAUAACUACUGGGGAGAAACUCUAAGGAUCAAAAUGCUUCAAUGACACCAAGGAGCCUAUAACCAGAAGACCCAAGAUUUUCACGAUCCCCUGAAUUUCUUAAGCCCCAAAUCUUUAUUUCCUAUUCUCUAAAAUCCCGUUUCUUCUCCUAUAGUCACUCUCCACUGCUGAGUCAUUAAAGCUGGAAACCUGGGGGUCAUUUUCAGUACCUUUUCUCUUUUCCUGCUCUCACCCAUGCAACUCACCACAGGCUGUUCCAGUAUCCUGAAAUAUUUCUCAAAUGCUUCCC